UAUGGAAGUAAAGAAAAAGGCGUUUUCAAAAUUUCUAAACUAUGGAGAUGAGUUGUUUGAGAAUGAUGAUACUUCUGAUGAAGUCAUCAAGAUGAGGGGUGAAUGGGAAUCAUUCAAGCUUGGUCUUGCAAAAAAAAAAAAAAAAAAAAAAAGAAGAUAAAAUAGGAGCACUCUUUGGAGGUGCUGUGAGGGAAAGGUUUGUUCAUGUUAGGUCCUAGCAUUAAUUGUUUUUUCUCCUUGAUUUUUUUCUGCUCAUGUCCUUCGAAAGCAUACUUGGUAGGAUCAUUUGUGCCUUUUUGGUGGUAGAGCAAUAUAUCAUGUGUUUGAACUCUUUUUGAUGUUUUUGGGUUGUAUUUAGAGACUUUGUUUUUGGUUACGUGCUUGUAUUUACCAGAUCCAAAAAUUGAAUUUUUAAUUCUACUUGGCGUUUGCAUAUGCACUAUGAGACUAUGACCGAUUUGGAAAGGUCUAUAGUUAUAUUGUUUGAAAACAAGAGAGAACGAGAGUGCAAACGUGGACUUGAAGCCGGACAUGAUCGAACUCCAGCAAGAGUCUCUAGGGACUGCUGUGGUUCCUCUUUGGUGAAGGACGGGAAAUCUUUGCGAUGAGAUUCCCCACACCAUGAUGCUUUACAUAUGUGGAUCUUGAUGUUUUAUUUUGUGUCCUGCUCAAGUUCUAAAUAUAUUGCUGCAUGUGUAUCUUGCAGCCCUUGUAACUAACUUGGUGUUCUCUUAUGCUAUUACUUCAAUGCUUUUUGCAAAGUUUAUCUUAUGCUUAUCCAGAACAUGCUAUUGUACCUUUAAUCUUUUUGGUGCAAGUGACAGUUUGUGAUUUUAAUGGUUUUUGUCAAACAAUAUAUUACUUUUUUUUGACGAGUAAGAAAAAUUUUAUUGAAAAAGACUACUUCAUGCAAGAUGAAUGGAGUACCAUAAAAAUAUGUACAAGAAAGAAGAGUAGAAAAACAAUCUGUUACUUGUUUUUCUAAAAUUUUUGUCCAGUUACUGGCCAAAAAACAAAUAUUGCAUCUCAGAACAAGCAUUUGAACUCAAACUAGUUUUAUGAUUUAUAAUAUCCUAUGUUUCUUCACUUCUUCUCAAAACCAAGUGGAUGGUUGUUGUAUUACUUAUUUUUUGAAAGAAGGAAACGAUAAGAUGGUUUUUAUUUAUUAUUAUUAUUAUUAUUAUUAUUAUUUUUAUACAUUGUUGAGUAGUGCAGUUUUGAUCAUGAUUUUGUUGAAGAAGAGAAGGUAGCUGAGCUGAAAGAGCCAUCUGCUGAUCUUUUGGCUGAAGCAUGUACAAAAUCAGAGCAUGGAAAUAUAACUUGUUGUUCUCUUAUGCUGAAGGCAUCUUUCACCUGUUAAAGAAAAAAGGAGAGACUAUGUCUGCAAGGCUAUUGUGAACUGGCCGAAGGAGAACCUUAGACUUUCCAUCAACACUCCUGUCAGGUUUGAGCAUGAUUUUGUUGAAGAAGAGAAGGCAACUGAGCUGAAAGAGCCAUCUGCUGAGCUUUUGGCUGAAGCACCUAGGAAUUCAGAACAUGGAAAUAUAGUGUGAAAGGCAAAGAUGAUUUUGAUGAGCGGACUUAGCAAGAUGCUCUGGAGGAGCUGUCAUCUGAAAAAAGUUCUGAUGAUCGCAUACCCCACGUUUGCAAUAUCUCCAGUUUGCCUUGCUUAAAAAGGACCAGUCUUUCUCUUUCAUGACACUUGGUGGUCAAUGGAAUCCUGCUGAUGGUGUUGACCAUAGAUAUGCAAAAGAUGUCACUCAACUUGAUUUGCAGAACUGCCGUCAUUGGAAUUGUUUUCUUAAGAUACACUAUGACAGACUUGGCAAGGAUGGACUUUUUAGGAGGAUAGCUAAAAAAAGGUCUCUGGUUUGGAAUCCAGUGAUGGGGUUUCUGGAACUAAGAAAGAUGCUGAUGGGGAUGAAAUAGACAGUGCAUGAAACCAAAAACACAGAGAGGCAAGCAGCAGAUGCUGAAAAUCUGGUCAGUGAGGUCAAAAGAUCUGAAAAGAAAACAGUUCCCAAGACCGACACCAAAACAGUUGCAACUAAGAAGCAAGGAGAUGGCAAUUCAAGGAAAACAGAGAUAAAGGCUGACAAGGAUGAUAAGGAGGAUGAAAGAAAAACUGGUGAGAAAAGUGGCGUGGUGUCUAAAGUAGAGACUGAUGCUGACAAGAAGAAAGUUCCUCAAAAUGAUGGCAAGAUGGGAAAAUUAAAAGAUGGGGAUAAAUCUAAAGAUGAGAAAGUGAAAAAAGACAAUGAUGGAAAAGAUGACUCUAGAAGCAAAUCAAAUAAAGAUUUGAAAGAAAAGAGAGCCUGAAGAACCUCCUCGACAUCUUGGUUUGAUUUUACAAACCGAAUGGAGCAAGGAAUCCAAACUUUGUUCAUUAUCACUUUCACCGGAUUCACUCCUGGAUUAUACUGACAAGGACAUGCAAGAAUCAACAUUUGAGAAACUGCGUCUAAAAUUUGUGUCAAAAAGAAAUCAACAUAAGAGGCAACGGGAAGAAAUUCAAGAAAAGGAAAGGGAUAAAAUAUCUCCAGUGAAGCGAGCAAAGACCAGUGAUCUCCCUGUGAAAGAGCAAGAUAUCAAGUCUGAAAUGUUGAACACAGCUCAACCAGAUGAAGACAAAACCAAGGUCAAGGAGGAGGAUAAAACUGUUGAUCAUGUUGAUGAGGUGAAGAUAUGAGGUUGAUGAUACGAGGUUGAUCAUCCACAACUUGGGGAAGUUCCUCUCACACAGGGAUGUGCAGCUAAUGUAUCUCAUGCAUCCGGAACUUGUGCAAAGUGCAUUGUUAGAGAGCAACACCAGCAGGGAUGACCGCAUUCUUUACAAUAAGCUGGUGCGAAUGUCUGGUAUUUGAGAUUGGAAGGGUCUUCAUGUUUUCUUGAAAAUGAAUUUCAAUAUGACAUUGCCUUAUUAUGGCCCUUGAGAGGGGACAGAUUCUUACAGGGUUUUGGUUGCAAUUGGAUUGUUGUCCUCCGUUUAAUUUCUUUUAAUGCCUGUUAAAAAGUUUUCAAUACACAGUGUUGUGCCAGUCGAGCUACAUGGCUCUUGGCAAAUCAAAAGCGAUAUUUUGAAGAUAA